ensembl:lncRNA
CUUCUUCUGUCGCGUCUUGUAAAUGGUGUAACAAAUGUCUCUCCCACACAGCAGAGUCACUACCUGGCAGGUCUGGGUUAGUCAUCAUUUUAGCUUUCACACUCUCUGGUACGCCCUCCAGGACCGCCUGUCUAAACCCUUCCCUGUGCACUCCCGCAGUGCCUGGGUGAUGACCUGUGUGUUUCACCCAUGUUUCCUUACAUUCGUCCAAAUAAGCGCGCUGUGUUUUUCCCCAAAACAAAUUUCUUUCCUGCUGCGCUGAAUUGGUUUUCAUGUUUAUUUCUAUUUGUUCUAAUAAUUUUUCAUCAUAUUUUAAAUCCUUGAUUCAAGUGUUACACUUAAAAAGAAAGUAGUUCAGCGAAACUAAAAGUUGCAAUGUCUCAUCAACCUGUUAGUUGAUUUCAUAAAAUCCCCUCUACAACCCGCUUGUUCAUGUAAAGGUUUUUGGCCGACCUUUGACAGCCCAGUAAUGAUGAGCUUAUUCUUCUAAACUGAAAAGCAAAAGGACCAUUUAUCCUCUUUAUUCUUUAUAUAUCAUGGUAUUCAAGAAAUAUGCAUAAACCUAAUUAUAUCACUAAAUGAUGGCACUCAGGAUUAACUUUAUUCAACAGUAUGUGUGUGAGGAGGUAUAAAACCUUGUUGGCCUCCACCGUUGCUCCCACACAUCUUCUCACUGCUGUGACCUUUUUACUCCCAUAAAACCCCCGAUGCUUCAACAGAGAUUUAUUACGCUUAUUCUAGCCGUUGUUGCUUUAAAGACUUUAAAUCGUCUUUUUCUUUCUUCAAUGCAUGUCUACAAUUCUACUAUUUUUAAACCAAAAGCUUAGUAAUAGCUUGGAGAGCUUAAAAAAAAAGGCUCUGCAGCAGCAGACUUGUUGUUUGAGAAUCAGUCUCUCCUUUUUUUUUUUUCUACCCUCGUAUGGAGGCGGUUUUUCAGAAUUACACCGUUCUUGGUUGUGUGACGUCACGAGAGGCGCCGCCGCUCUCUCCGGGGUAGUUCAAAUAGUGCGAGGACACCGGGUUCAAAAUGUAAACAAAGGUUUUAAUUUACGUCCUUCAGAUUCAACAGAAAACAGUCAAAACAGGGAGUAACUCAGUAACUCAGGCUUCAGUCGAUCUUUGCCCGUAAAACUUAACUAAUGUCUUGUCUUUGGAGGGGAAACGGAAAACCUCUCGGUCUCUCCUGCAUUCGGGAAUCCUUCUGUCUUGGUCUGCUCUUCUGCAGCUCGUCUCUCCUCCCUCAGCGGUGUGUCUUCCGCCCUCAUGGAGGCCUCCAGGUCGUCACACCCUGGUGGGUUUCAGGCAUGAGGGGAAUGCUCUUUCGGGAUGGAGCCAUAGUAGUUACAGCCAUCGCCGGUGAACGCAUCUCCCUCCCAAGACCGAGCCUCUCGUGACAUCACAGUUGUUUUUGUCUACGGCUUUACUUUUUAUCCAACACGAAAACCAUACGGACCUGAAGUCCUCUAUUUUGUCAAUUUCUUUGUGAAGUUUCCUUUUCCCCAAACAUUCACCUUCUCACAUUUUGCUAUCAAUGUUCCUUUGAUCAGACAUUUGCUCCCAUCAUCAAGAUACUGUAUCAAGUGUAUCGUGCACUUUACACUCAAUAGCAGCACUCAACAAUUUACAGCCCAUCUGAGUUUAGGAGAAGACUCAAAAACCUACAAACAUUAAUACAGAAAUCGGACCCUAUAUACAACAAUUCUCCUUAUUUCUCAUCUCUUCAUUUUCAAUGCCUGUUUCCCCUCUUUUUAGUAAAUCAAUCUCUCCUACGGUUUUAAGUCUAAUUUCAGCUGACACUCUCAGCAGUCUAUAAUCUCUAGUCUCAGUGACGCUCUAUCUGCCAAACCAGCGCCUUUCUCACCGCGUGUCCCGUGUGCUCCACAUCAUGGUUCUUUUUCUCAGUGGUGUCUCCGCUCACCCCCACCAACACAUCCUCAGUUGGUCAUUUAUUAUUUUCCAUCGAUACCCCGGCGCUGGCUCCCAGCCGCCGUCCUCCACUUCUCCAUCAAAUUCACCUUCCAUUUAUCAGCCGUCAACCAGUUCGGAUGUAUUUUACCGGAGCAGACAGCUGUGUUCUGAAAGUUAUGUUACUCCACUCCUCCGCUCUCUUCACUGGCUACCGGUGGCCGCCCGCAUCCAGUUCAAAACAUUGGUGCUCACGUACCAUGCUGUGAAUGGAUCGGGUCCAGCUUACAUCCAGGACAUGGUCAAACCCGACAUCCCAACCCGCACUCUCCGCUCUGCAUCUGCAAAACUACUCGUCCCUCCUCACUGAGAGCAAAACACUCGACUAG